rnacentral:lncRNA from 12 species
AAGCUUACUUUCCUUACAAGAACUGUACAUUUGCCAGUGGCAAAUACCGUACUUUGUUUUUCCCCUGGAAAGCAUUUACCACAGCACCCAAUAAGGCUGGACACACAUGGAAGGCUUUCUAAGGUUUCAUUGAAUUGAUUUGGAGUUCUAGUAUCACCAUAGAAUUAAUUUCAAGGAGGCAAAGGAACCUUUUUUUUUUUUUUAAGAUUUUAUUUAUUUAUUCAUGAGGGACACACAGAUAGAGAGAGAGAGAGGUACAGACACAAGCAGAGGGAGAAGCAGGCUCCAUGCAGGGAGCCUGACAUGAGACUCGAUCCUGGAUCUCCAGGAUCACACCCUGGACUGAAGGUAGCACUAAACUGCUGAGCCACCCGGGCUGCCCGAGGCAAAGGAACCUUAAGAAAUCAGGUUAUCUUAGAGCAAGACAAUAGUACAGCUACAUUUGGGCAAAAUGCAAGCCAGUACAGAGGGCAGUACACACUCCGAGCAGCAAGGUUGGCUCUGCCAAGCUUCUUCCAUGGGAAGAACAUUCAGCAUCUCAGCAUUAGCUGCCAGAGCUUUGAACUAUCAGAUGAUUCUGUAGAAGUCUAUGAAGAAAAUAUAUUAAUGACAUCCACUGUACUGAGAGAAGUGUCUGGCAUAAAUUAGAUCCUCAGUAAGUAUUUCUUAUGUUCACAAAUGAAAUGCAGAUUGUGCUUAAAUAUUACAAGACCUUUGAUGCAGGUAAAGUAAGAUGUUUGUAAUAAAUUCUGUAGGCAAUGGGAACCUUCUUUUUUU